GUAGUCCACGCCCUAAACGAUGUCUACUAGUUGUCGGGUUUUAAUUAACUUGGUAACGCAGCUAACGCGUGAAGUAGACCGCCUGGGGAGUACGGUCGCAAGAUUAAAACUCAAAGGAAUUGACGGGGACCCGCACAAGCGGUGGAUGAUGUGGAUUAAUUCGAUGCAACGCGAAAAACCUUACCUACCCUUGACAUGUACGGAAGGCCGAAGAGAUUUGGCUGUGCUCGAAAGAGAACCGUAACACAGGUGCUGCAUGGCUGUCGUCAGCUCGUGUCGUGAGAUGUUGGGUUAAGUCCCGCAACGAGCGCAACCCUUGUCAUUAGUUGCUACAUUCAGUUGAGCACUCU
rnacentral:rRNA from 1 species